rnacentral:rRNA from 1 species
AAGUCGUAACAAGGUCUCCGUAGGUGAACCUGCGGAGGGAUCAUUACAAGGACGCCCGGGCUUCGGCCUGGUUAUUCAUAACCCUUUGUUGUCCGACUCUGUUGCCUCCGGGGCGACCCUGCCUUCGGGCGGGGGCUCCGGGUGGACACUUCAAACUCUCGCGUAACUUUGCAGUCUGAGUAAACUUAAUUAAUAAAUUAAAACUUUUAACAACGGAUCUCUUGGUUCUGGCAUCGAUGAAGAACGCAGCGAAAUGCGAUAAGUAAUGUGAAUUGCAGAAUUCAGUGAAUCAUCGAAUCUUUGAACGCACAUUGCGCCCCCUGGUAUUCCGGGGGGCAUGCCUGUUCGAGCGUCAUUUCACCACUCAAGCCUCGCUUGGUAUUGGGCAACGCGGUCCGCCGCGUGCCUCAAAUCGUCCGGCUGGGUCUUCUGUCCCCUAAGCGUUGUGGAAACUAUUCGCUAAAGGGUGUUCGGGAGGCUACGCCGUAAAACAACCCCAUUUCUAAGGUUGACCUCGGAUCAGGUAGGGAUACCCGCUGAACUUAA